rnacentral:rRNA from 1 species
GUGGGGAAUUUUGGACAAUGGGGGCAACCCUGAUCCAGCCAUGCCGCGUGCGGGAAGAAGGCCUUCGGGUUGUAAACCGCUUUUGUCAGGGAAGAAAUCCUUUGGGUUAAUACCUCGGAGGGAUGACGGUACCUGAAGAAUAAGCACCGGCUAACUACGUGCCAGCAGCCGCGGUAAUACGUAGGGUGCGAGCGUUAAUCGGAAUUACUGGGCGUAAAGCGUGCGCAGGCGGUUUUGUAAGAUCGAUGUGAAAUCCACGGGCUCAACCUGGGAACUGCAUUGGUGACUGCAAGGAUGGAGGGCGGCAGAGGGGGAUGGAAUUCCGCGUGUAGCAGUGAAAUGCGUAGAUAUGCGGAGGAACACCGAUGGCGAAGGCAAUCCCCUGGGCCUGCACUGACGCUCAUGCACGAAAGCGUGGGGAGCAAACAGGAUUAGAUACCCGAGUAGUCC